GUGUGGAGGUACAACUCGCCCGAGCAGCUACCCACGCUCCGGUCCCGUCCCUCACCCUCAACAUAAAACACACACAAUACUUCCCCUCGCUUCUGCUCGCUCCAGGGGCCACCGCUCUUUCUGCUUCCUACCUGCUUCUCCUGCUACUAUCUGCUUGGAGUUGUACACGCGUCCUCGGUACGUUGGCAGGGAGGCUGUGUUGUGUUGGUGAAGCUUAACGCGUCGGCAGGAGGGAGAGAGAACCACUUGAGAAUAUUACUUCCAUCCCCUGAGGAAGAGGAAGAAAAAAAAAACUGAAAAAAGACUGAAAAAGACUGAAAAAAGACUGAAAAGGACUGAAAAAGACUGAAAAAAUAGACAACCUUGAGGAAAAUAAUGCCUAAAGUUGAACGAAACUGACGAUAAACAAUAUGAGCGAAGGCAAGUCACCAUUGGACUAAAACUUCUGGGAAAAAAGUAGCGAGCGAGUGAACGAAUAAGAGGAAAGAUAGAUAAAGAAAGAUAAAAAAAAAAGAAACGAGAAGAUAUUUUUAGUGAACGUGGCGAUGAUACAACUGAUAAAUUAAUGAUAAGUGAAACAUGUUAAUGAUAAGAAGAGGUUUGGAAUUAAUUUUUUUCACCCAGAUUAACGAACGGACUUGUACGUGAUUUUUGUGUUAUUGUCUUCAAGUGACCGUGAAGAAAAUCCCUGUGCUUGAUUGUAUGAUAACAGCAUUUAAUUUUCUAAGUUGGUGAUAUUAAAGUAACUUUAUCAUGUAGGUAAUGUUUUCUUAAGUGAUAUUUACGUCCAAAAGUGAUGGUACUUAUGAAAAAAAACUUAACAGCAGAUAAGUUUUGAUGUAAAGCUAAAAAACACGUUUGUAAUUACUGAAGAAAAAAAUAUACCUUUGAUAAGUGAUUUUAUAAGUGGAUCAAAAGUACGUUGGAAGUAAUUGAAGUAAGAGUUAAGUGUUCAGUCUACCAUGACUAUAAUAACACACUACCAUUGGACACCAUAACGGAAGUGAACAGACAGACAGACAGAUAAAGUUGAAAGCUGAUUUAUACAAUGUCCAACCGCGAAGCCAUGCGGGGUGAGGUCUAUAAGAUCUGAGACACUUAUACAGACAUACAGACACAGACACAUACAGACACAGACACAUACAGACACAGACACUUACAGACACAGACAC